GAUGAACGCUGGCGGCGUGCCUAAUACAUGCAAGUCGAGCGAACAGACGAGAAGCUUGCUCCUCUGACGUUAGCGGCGGACGGGUGAGUAACACGUGUAUAACCUACCUAUCAGACUGGGAUACCUGCGUGACACCGGAGCUAAUACCGUAUAAUAUUUUUAACCGCAUGGUUCAAGAGUGAAAGACGGUUUUGCUGUCACUUAUCGAUGGAUCCGCGCCGCAGUAGCUAGUUGGUAAGGUAACGGCUUACCAAGGAAACGAUGCGUAGCCGACCUGAGAGGGUGAUCGGCCACACUGGAACUGACACACGGUCCAGAAUCCUACGGGAGGCAGCAGUAGGGCAUCUUGCGCAACGGGCGAAAGCUUGACGGAGCAACGCAGCGUGAGUGAUGAAGGUCUUCGGAUCGUAAAACUCUGUUAUUAGGGAAGAACAUAUGUGUAAGUAACUAUGCACGUCUUGACGGUACCUAAUCAGAAAGCCACGGCUAACUACGUG
rnacentral:rRNA from 1 species